GAUUCCUACGGGAGGCAGCAGUGGGGAAUAUUCCACAAUGGGCGCAAGCCUGAUGCAGCAACGCCGCGUGAGGGAUGACGGCCUUCGGGUUGUAAACCUCUUUUAGCAGGGAAGAAGCGAAAGUGACGGUACCUGCAGAAAAAGCGCCGGCUAACUACGUGCCAGCAGCCGCGGUAAUAAUCG
rnacentral:rRNA from 1 species